GAGAGUUGCCCCAUUUGAUUGUCACUGACGUCCACUGCACAGGAGCUUUUCCUUUGGAUAGACUUAUUAUGAGUAACCAGCUAGCCAUGGCUACUAUGAAGUCGCCAGGAAAUCUGGAGGAAUGAGGUCAGGUCGAACGCUGGCAUCCCAUGAGGACUCACUGUCCAUCUGGUUUAUGACAAAAGCAGACUGCCUCAUUCGUCAUCCAGCGCACACUGGAUUCAUGUUCGCUACAUGACAUCGCCUGGGCAAUGGAACCUUCCAGAAGAUGACAAGGAAGAGAGACGUAAAACAUCUCAGCACUACACCUGAAAGAAGAAGUCUGCUGCUUGCCAUGACUCCAGGUACACAAGGUCUGAUGGUCGUGAUCACACCUGGCUUUUGUAUACUGAUGUGUCUGGCCUUCACUGCCACGGUAAGCCCUUUCACAUUGGAUCCCCAAUCCACACUGAUGUGUAGUGGUGUUAACAACCGCAAUCAAAUUUAGGAUAUCAGAUCAAAAUUGGGAUGUAUAUUGGAAGAGAACUGUGAAGAAUCCAUAUAUCCCUAA